AACGAACGCUGGCGGCAGGCUUAACACAUGCAAGUCGAACGGUUGUAGCAAUACAGCAGUGGCAGACGGGUGAAUAACACGUGGGAACCUUCCUCGUAGUACGGAACAACUCAGGGAAACUUGAGCUAAUACCGUAUACGUCCGAGAGGAGAAAGAUUUAUCGCUAUGAGACGGGCCCGCGUCCGAUUAGCUAGUUGGUGGGGUAACGGCCUACCAAGGCGACGACGGGUAGCCGGCCUGAGAGGGCGACCGGCCACACUGGGACUGAGACACGGCCCAGACUCCUACGGGAGGCAGCAGUGGGGAAUCUUGCGCAACGGGCGAAAGCCUGACGCAGCGACGCCACGUGAGGGAUGACGGCCUCGGUU
rnacentral:rRNA from 1 species